CAACACCUCAUCUAUGCUGCUAAGGUGGACCAACCUCAGGACACGACCCGUUCUCCUGGAUGAAAGUCUGCCGUUUGUUGGACCCAUCCACCUCCAUCCAAACGGUGACUGUAUCCAGAGACUGCAGAUGAGAAAUUGUGUUUGGGCGAGCUCUUG